rnacentral:rRNA from 1 species
GAUGAACGCUGGCGGCGUGCCUAAUACAUGCAAGUCGAGCGAACAGACGAGGAGCUUGCUCCUCUGACGUUAGCGGCGGACGGGUGAGUAACACGUGGAUAACCUACCUAUAAGACUGGGAUAACUUCGGGAAACCGGAGCUAAUACCGGAUAAUAUAUUGAACCGCAUGGUUCAAUAGUGAAAGACGGUUUUGCUGUCACUUAUAGAUGGAUCCGCGCCGCAUUAGCUAGUUGGUAAGGUAACGGCUUACCAAGGCAACGAUGCGUAGGCGACCUGAGAGGGUGAUCGGCCACACUGGAACUGAGACACGGUCCAGACUCCUACGAGAGGCAGCAGUAGGGAAUCUUCCGCAAUGGGCGAAAGCUUGACGGAGCAACGCCGCGUGAGUGAUGAAGGUCUUCGGAUCGUAAAACUCUGUUAUUAGGGAAGAACAAAUGUGUAAGUAACUAUGCACGUCUUGACGGUACCUAAUCAGAAAGCCACGGCUAACUACGUG